rnacentral:rRNA from 1 species
GAGUAACACGUGGGGAACCUGCCCCAUAGUCUGGGAUACCACUUGGAAACAGGUGCUAAUACCGGAUAAGAAAGCGGAUCGCAUGAUCAGCUUUUAAAAGGCGGCGUAAGCUGUCGCUAUGGGAUGGCCCCGCGGUGCAUUAGCUAGUUGGUAAGGUAAAGGCUUACCAAGGCGAUGAUGAAUAGCCGAGUUGAGAGACUGAUCGGCCACAUUGGGACUGAGACACGGCCCAAACUCCUACGGGAGGCAGCAGGG